rnacentral:rRNA from 1 species
ACAUGCUUACAACAUAGCGUUAAUGCAUCAGAUUCCAUUAGAACUCUGCAGUUAAGCGCACUUGGGCUAGAGUAGUACUGGGAUGGGUGACUGCUUGGGAAGUUCUAGUGUUUUACAUGCC